CACAGGGAAUGAGGUUCUCCCGCAGCAACAGGCUGAAACCGCUGUAACAAGCUGAUGACUUCUGCAA
rnacentral:ncRNA from 1 species